rnacentral:rRNA from 1 species
UACGGAGGGAGCUAGCGUUGUUCGGAAAUACUGGGCGUAAAGCGCACGUAGGCGGCGCAGCAAGUCAGGGGUGAAAUCCCGGGGCUCAACCCCGGAACUGCCCUUGAAACUGCAGUGCUAGAAUCUUGGAGAGGCGAGUGGAAUUCCGAGUGUAGAGGUGAAAUUCGUAGAUAUUCGGAAGAACACCAGUGGCGAAGGCGACUGACUGGACAAGUAUUGACGCUGAGGUGCGAAAGCGUGGGGAGCAAACAGG